rnacentral:rRNA from 1 species
AUGUUGGAGGAGACGGCUAACAACCUAAAAAUACAAGAGAAACAACCAAACAAACUUACUAGACGUGAGAAACAGACUAACAACAUCUUAUCAGAUCCAUUCAUACGAACCCUCCUAAAUCUCAAACAGAGAUGUAUUCCUCCAGCGAUAGUGCAUCUGAUGACAACGUCUUCGAAGAUCCCAUUGUGCAGCAGAUGGAUGAGGAUUUCGAUGAGCGUUUUGCUCGCACAAUUGAUGCUCAAAUCAAAGCUCAAGUUUUGGGCCCCAGUCAGUGGCGGCGCCGGCGGCGCCGGUGCAACAGUAAAAGGAGGUACCUUGACCGAGGAUGUGUGGCAGGCAAUGCUCGUCUCAUUAAAGACUACUUCUCAGAAGUACCAACAUACACUGAAGCCAUGUUCCGUCACCAAUACUACUUUCUCUCUAGUUCUCAUCUCAACUGAACUUGUUGUGUUGGUUACUUAUCCUGAUUGGAUCAACACAGGAACCGAAUGA